CGGUCCUUUAAGUCUGAUGUGAAAGCCCACGGCUUAACCGUGGAGGGCCAUUGGAAACUGGAGGACUUGAGUACAGAAGAGGAGAGUGGAAUUCCACGUGUAGCGGUGAAAUGCGUAGAGAUGUGGAGGAACACCAGUGGCGAAGGCGACUCUCUGGUCUGUAACUGACGCUGA
rnacentral:rRNA from 1 species